GGAAAGAUGCCAGAGCGGUCGAAUGGGACGGUCUCGAAAAUCGUUGUACGGGCAACUGUACCCAGGGUUCGAAUCCCUGUCUUUCCG
rnacentral:tRNA from 1 species